rnacentral:piRNA from 1 species
UGACUCUGUUUUACUCAGCAAAAUUCCUAC